rnacentral:tRNA from 2 species
GGAGAAGUACUCAAGUGGCUAAAGAGGUGCCCCUGCUAAGGGUAUAGGCCGGGUAACCGGUGCGAGGGUUCAAAUCCCUCCUUCUCCGCCA